rnacentral:rRNA from 1 species
UGAAACCGUCUAGAGGCAAACGGAGAGGACCGUAUGGUCCGCCCGUCGGAUUCAGUCCGCCUGCGCGGCGACGGCGCCGGUCGCGCAUCCCUCGUGGGAGCGCGCCGGCGUCCGGUUCGUCGUGCGGUGAACUAUGCCCGAGUAGGACGAAGCCAGAGGAAACUCUGGUGGAGGUCCGCAGCGAUUCUGACGUGCAAAUCGAUCGUCAAACUUGGGUAUAGGGGCGAAAGACUAAUCGAACCAUCUAGUAGCUGGUUCCUGUCGAAGUUUCCCUCAGGAUAGCUGGCGCUCGUCGUGAGCAGUUUUAUCCGGUAAAGCGAAUGACUGGAGGCCUUGGG